GUGCUUGCUUCAGCAGCACAUAUUAAAAACAAACAGAGAAGAUUAGCAUGGCCCCUGCACAACGAUGACACGCAAUUUGUGAAGCGCUCUUUUUUUUU
rnacentral:snRNA from 1 species